rnacentral:rRNA from 1 species
GCUGGAAUUCAGCAUAUCAAUAAGCGGAGGAAAAGAAACUAACAAGGAUUCCCCUAGUAACUGCGAGUGAAGAGGGAGAAGCUCAAAUUUAAAAUCUGGCAGUCUCUGAUUGUCCGAGUUGUAAUUUAGAGAAGUGUUACCCGUGUUGGACCGUGUACAAGUCUCCUGGAAUGGAGCGUCAUAGAGGGUGAGAAUCCCGUCUUUGAUACGGAUCCCAAUACAUUGUGGUACACUCUCGAAGAGUCGAGUUGUUUGGGAAUGCAGCUCUAAAUGGGUGGUAAAUUCCAUCUAAAGCUAAAUAUUGGGGAGAGACCGAUAGCGAACAAGUACCGUGAGGGAAAGAUGAAAAGAACUUUGGAAAGAGAGUUAAACAGUACGUGAAAUUGCUGAAAGGGAAACGCUUGAAGUCAGUCGCGUUGGUCGGGGGAUCAGCCUUCCUUAUGGUUGGUGCAUUUCCUGAUCAACGGGUCAACAUCAGUUUUGAUCAAUGGAUAAAAAGUUUGAGGGAUGUGGCAUCUUCGGGUGUGGUAUAACCUCUUGCUAUAUACAUUGAUGGGGACUGAGGAACUCAGCACGCCGCAAGGCCGGGUUUUUAACCACGUUCGUGCUUAGGGAUGUUGGCAUAUGGCUUUAUAGCCCGUCUUGAACACGGCCAAGCUU